CACUUUUAGUUUAUAUAAGAAUGGCGGUCUUGUAAGCCGCAGGGGCAGGUGGAUCUGCAGGGUGAUU
rnacentral:tRNA from 1 species